rnacentral:rRNA from 1 species
GAUUAACGCUAGCGGCAGGCCUAAUACAUGCAAGUCGAACGGCAGCACGGGUAGCAAUACCUGGUGGCGAGUGGCGCACGGGUGCGUAACGCGUAUGCAAUCUACCUGUAACUGGGGAAUAGCCUUCCGAAAGGAAGAUUAAUACCGCAUAAUAUCACGAAACGGCAUCGUUUUGUGAUCAAAUCUCCGGAGGUUACAGAUGAGCAUGCGUGACA